GCGAAAACUUUACAAUGCUGGCAACAGCGAUAAGGGAACCUCAAGUGCCAGGUUACAAAUCUGGCUGUCGAGAUGCCUAAAAAGCAUUUCAUAGCAAGGGCCGGGCAAGACCGGUGCCAGCCGCCGCGGUAACACCGGCGGCUCGAGCGGUAACCGUUAUUAUUGGGUCUAAAGGGUCUGUAGCCGGCCGGAUAAGUCUCUUGAGAAAUCUGGCAGCUUAACUGUCAGGCUUUCAGGAGAUACUGUCUGGCUCGAGGCCGGGAGAGGUGAGAGGUACUUCAGGGGUAGGGGUGAAAUCUUGUAAUCCUUGAAGGACCACCAGUGGCGAAGGCGUCUCACCAGAACGGACCUGACGGCAAGGGACGAAAGCUAGGGGCACGAACC
rnacentral:rRNA from 1 species